rnacentral:rRNA from 1 species
UACGAAGGGGGCUAGCGUUGUUCGGAAUUACUGGGCGUAAAGCGCGCGCAGGCGGUUUUUCAAGUCAGUGGUGAAAGCCCAGAGCUCCACUCUGGAACUGCCAUUGAAACUGUUAAACUAGAGGACGAGAGAGGUGAGUGGAAUUCCCAGUGUAGAGGUGAAAUUCGUAGAUAUUGGGAAGAACACCAGUGGCGAAGGCGGCUGACUGGACAAGUAUUGACGCUGAGGUGCGAAAGCGUGGGGAGCAAACAGG